AAACUCAAAGGAAUUGACGGGGACCCGCACAAGCGGCGGAGCAUGCGGAUUAAUUCGAUGCAACGCGAAGAACCUUACCAAGGCUUGACAUACACCGGAAACGGCUAGAGAUAGUCGCCCCCUUGUGGUCGGUGUACAGGUGGUGCAUGGUUGUCGUCAGCUCGUGUCGUGAGAUGUUGGGUUAAGUCCCGCAACGAGCGCAACCCUCGUUCUAUGUUGCCAGCACGUAAUGGUGGGAACUCAUGGAAUACUGCCGGGGUCAACUCGGAGGAAG
rnacentral:rRNA from 1 species